CAAACAGCCCUUUUCAGGGCUAUCAAACAAUUAAAAUAGAGAGUUU
rfam:Lutzomyia longipalpis Contig23706, whole genome shotgun sequence.